rnacentral:rRNA from 1 species
GAGGAUGCUUUGGGUGCGGCCCCCGUCUAAGUGCCCUGGAACGGGCCGUCAGAGAGGGUGAGAAUCCCGUCUUGGGCGGGGUGUCCGUGCCCGUGUAAAGCUCCUUCGACGAGUCGAGUUGUUUGGGAAUGCAGCUCUAAAUGGGUGGUAAAUUUCAUCUAAAGCUAAAUACUGGCCGGAGACCGAUAGCGCACAAGUAGAGUGAUCGAAAGAUGAAAAGCACUUUGAAAAGAGAGUUAAACAGCACGUGAAAUUGUUGAAAGGGAAGCGCUUGCGACCAGACUCGCCCGCGGGGUUCAGCCGGCAUUCGUGCCGGUGUACUUCCCCGUGGGCGGGCCAGCGUCGGUUUGGGCGGCCGGUCAAAGGCCCCUGGAAUGUAGUACCCUCCGGGGUACCUUAUAGCCAGGGGUGCAAUGCGGCCAGCCUGGACCGAGGAACGCGCUUCGGCACGGACGCUGGCAUAAUGGUCGUAAACGACCCGUCUUGAACCACGGA